GACGAACGCUGGCGGCGUGCCUAAUACAUGCAAGUUGAGCGAUGAAGAUUGGUGCUUGCACCAAUUUGAAGAGCAGCGAACGGGUGAGUAACGCGUGGGGAAUCUGCCUUUGAGCGGGGGACAACAUUUGGAAACGAAUGCUAAUACCGCAUAACAACUUUAAACAUAAGUUUUAAGUUUGAAAGAUGCAAUUGCAUCACUCAAAGAUGAUCCCGCGUUGUAUUAGCUAGUUGGUGAGGUAAAGGCUCACCAAGGCGAUGAUACAUAGCCGACCUGAGAGGGUGAUCGGCCACAUUGGGACUGAGACACGGCCCAAACUCCUACGGGAGGCAGCAGUAGGGAAUCGUCGGCAAUGGACGAAAGUCUGACCGAGCAACGCCGCGGGAGUGAAGAAGGGUUUCGGAUCGUAAAACUCGGUUGGUAGAGAAGAACGUUGGUGAGAGUGGAAAGCUCAUCAAGUGACGGUAACUACCCAGAAAGGGACGGCUAACUACGUG
rnacentral:rRNA from 1 species